GCCGGAGUGGCGGAAUUGGCAGACGCGCUAGCUUCAGGAGCUAGUAUCUGUAAAGAUGUGAGGGUUCGAGUCCCUCCUCCGGCA
rnacentral:tRNA from 1 species